rnacentral:rRNA from 1 species
AGAAUCAACGCUGGCGGCGUGCCUAACACAUGCAAGUCGAACGAGAAAGUGGUAGCAAUACCAUGAGUAAAGUGGCGCACGGGUGAGUAACACGUGACUAACCUACCCUGGAGUGGGGGAUAACUGAGGGAAACCUUAGCUAAUACCGCAUAAUACCUACGGGUCAAAGGAGCAAUUCGCUUUAGGAGGGGUCGCGGCAGAUUAGCUAGUUGGCGGGGUAAUGGCCCACCAAGGCAGUGAUCUGUA